rnacentral:lncRNA from 1 species
CUGAAAGUGAUAAAACUCCAAACAAACAUUUCUAUUUCCAAAUUAUUAUAAAAUUAUAAAAAUACAGAUAUUUUCAACAACAUAAUCUUCAUUUCAUCUUUUUUUUCUUUGUCUUUUUUUUAAAUAACCAACAAUAUGAACUAUUAUAUAAUAGAAUGAAAUUCAAAACAGUGUGGCUGUGGCCAUUGAUUGACACAUUAAAUUCAUCCAUUGUCUGGGACAAUUUAGGUAAACGUUUGUAUGUAACGACCACUGCUCACUAUGUACUUUUUAAAGACACUUAAACUAUGGGGUCACCAAAGGUUCACAACACCUUAAUAAAGUAAUUCGAAAAAUUAAUCAGAAAUAACACGAUGUUUUGAUUUAUACUAAUUAUAUAAAUCAAAACAUAAAGGUUAUUCCUGAUUAAUUUUUCGAAUUAUUUUAUAAUUAAAGGCGUUAAGAAACCUUUGGUGACCCCUCAGUUUAAAUGUCUAUCGUAGGUACGUAGUGAACAGUGGUCGUUACAGACAAACGUUCACGUAAAUUGUCCCAGUCAAUGGAUGAAUUUAAUGUGUCAAUCAAUGGCCACAGCAACACUGUUUUGAGUUUCAUUCUAUACAAAUUAAAAGAUUAACAAAAUAAUUUUGAAGGUCAAGACAAAAAUUAUUGAUAGUACCUCUCAGUAAGUUUAACAAAACAAAGAUUAAUGAGGUGGUUUCCACCAAGACACUCAAAACAAUAUUCCUUUCUCAUUAGUGCAACCAACAUGUAGUCAUUAUUUAACUUAAUAAUCAAUAUUAUGUCAUCUUUUUAUUUCAAAUUACACAAAAAUUCUUAUUAGUAAAUUUACUUGCAAGUCAUGAAAUUUUAGAAUGCCUUAUGAAAAAUUUAACCUUUUUUGCCAUUUGUGUGUUUUGAGAAUGAAUGCAAAAUUGUGAAUAAAAAUGAGUAAAUUGGAAGGAAUCAUGUUCAAUUAAUAACUAGAACUAUAAUACAAAUCACAUUCAAUUAGUAGAUAGUCUUGAUAUGUAUGUCAAUAUAUAGCACAAUUCAAUUGCAUAUUUAUCAUUCAAAGUUUAUUUCAUAAUGGAUAACUCUGAAACUUUAUCAUGCACAACAUGCCAUCAUCACAUUAAAUAACUUAGAAUGACAAAAAAAAAACCAUUUUUGUCCCAUUUUCAAAAGUUCUUACACUAUAUUUUUCUUCUCAUGCAUUUCGUUUUCAUAGAUAAAUAAUUAAAAUUCUAAAAAAAAAUUAUAAGAUGUAAGUGAUAUCAAAUGAUGAUUCCAUGAAAUUUUAUAAUCAUUCAUGGUCCCUCCAUAAUCAUUUUAUUCCAUUAAAGGAGUAAGUUCGGUAUGGGCCAUAUUUGGUCCCGAUUAUAAAAUUGAAUGGUACACGAUAAAAUAUGUUUUAAGUUGUCUUUAAGACUAUAUGAGAAAGUAAAAUAUAACUAAUUGUGUCAAAGUUUUAUUCUAAAGCGUUGAUUUUUACAUCCAUUAAAGGUCAAAAUUUUUGCAAAUUAAGGACCAGGAAACAUAUAGUGCAGGCGUCGACAAACUAAAUAUUCAAAUUAUACAUGCAAAAUGUCAUUACAAACAUUGUGUUCAAAGAUCUUUUUUGUCGACGUAUGCGCUCUAAUGUUCCCGUCCAAUAACCAAUGCAAAAUUUACCAAUUUUCAUUGAUUUUUCAUGGAAAAUAAAAAUAACUACUGUUUGUGACGUCAUCAGUAGAACACAGGAACGUAAAUUUUCCAGAAAAAGGCUCAUUUCCUAUCUAGUCAAUGUAUAACCUAUAAUUCAUUGUGAUAUUGGUCAAUAAAUCCUAAUUUGAAAUUUUAGGUACAAAACAGGGCCAUUUUAGGGUCUUAUCAAACCUACUCCUUUAUUCCGCGAUUGGAUAUUAUGUGCUAUAGAUCCUUCAUGGUUUUACAACAAAAUAACAUGCAUACCUCACACAGGAAAAAAUAAUUAAGAAUACAAAUUUGUUGUUUUUUCUAUUGUAUAGUUUUGAUAUCCUACCAUGCUUAACUAAAAUUGUGAUGAUUUUUUUUUAAAACAUCACAUUCUAUACAUGUAUGCAUACAUAUGUCAUGGAUUUGUUCAUAUUAUUUUAUACAGAGAUGACAGAAAAUCCUUUUUAAAAAUGAUAUCCCAUAAAAUAGGUCAAUGGUAUUUGGUUCACUUGAGUUGAUUAAAACACUCAAUAUGAGCUAGCACAAUUCAUUGAGACCAAUAUAACAUAAAACUUUAUAUAUUGUGUAUAUAGAUUGGGUUCCAGCCCAAACUUUCAAAUACUGGAUCAACCAGAAAAUAUAAAUAAAUAAGAUUUUCUUUCUAGAAAAAAAACUCUUAAAAGAAAUAAUUAAUUUAAUUCCUCAUAGUUAAGAAAUAAUGAGCAAUGUUCCUCUUUUCAACAGUUCAAGUUUAUAUAUUCCAUUUGAACUCUAUUUCUGAUUUUUGAAAGUUAAAUUAUUCAAAAGGAUGUGAAAAAAUAGACAUUUGACUACAUAUCAGUUUUAAAUUUCCUUUUGAAUCUUAAAAAUGAUUAAUAAAAAAUUUCCCCUAUUAAAAUACCUGUCUAUUUAGCAGAAUGUUCAAG